rnacentral:rRNA from 1 species
UACGUAGGGUGCGAGCGUUAAUCGGAACUACUGGGCGUAAAGCGUGCGCAGGCGGUGAGUUAAGUCUGAUGUGAAAGCCCCGGGCUCAACCUGGGAAUGGCAUUGGAAACUGGCUCGCUGGAGUGUGGCAGAGGGGGGUGGAAUUCCGCGUGUAGCAGUGAAAUGCGUAGAGAUGCGGAGGAACACCGAUGGCGAAGGCAGCCCCCUGGGCCAACACUGACACUGAGGCACGAAAGCGUGGGGAGCAAACAGG